UCCCCUCACGGACAUAUACUGGAC
rnacentral:piRNA from 1 species